UGCUGUAGCUUCAAAGCUCACUUACACUCAACAGACAUUUCAUGAACACCUAUUGUGGGUCAUUCGACAUGAAGAGCAGGACCACCAUUGUUAUUUUCAUCACAAUAUAACAGAUGAGCCUUCUGAGGCUCUUGGACAUUAAGUAUCCUAAAUCCCAGAACUGGUACAGAUGAGGGCAGAGGCAUCAAAGAAAUAUGCUCAAUCAACACACAACCCUCCAUGAAAACUCAAACUACAGAAGUACCUUGAAAAGAAGAGCAAUUUUAUAUGAAUGGCAAGCAACUCGCAUGCUUACUUUCAAAUAGCGUUAACCGUAGACCUCAAAGAGUAUGGUUCUUUUUCACAUAAGUGGCUCCUAGGGGCCAACAUGGCAUGAUCAUCACUACCUUCUGAACUUACUCCAACACAAUAUCAAAUGGCUGUAAAUCUUCCCCUGAACUGAUGGGGGACAGCUGGCUGGGGGGGAGCCGGGAACUGUGUGUGGACCUGUUUUCCAACAGUUUACUCAACCCACGAUUGUGGAUUGCAAGCCAUUCUGACUGAGCAAGAAAAAUGAACAGCAAGGAGAGAUGAAAAGGACCAGUGGAUCCAUUUCAUUCAGACCACUGCCUCCUGCCCAACGGUUUCUAAGUGUUUGCUACCAACAUGCACUUUUAAAAAAGGUAGAAGCAGUGUUUUUUUAGUUGGCGGAAAGUAGAAUUUAGUUUUUGAUGCUGUGAAAUUGGUACUAGAAUAGGGGGGAAUAACUAUUUCAAGAUGCCAGAGAACAUUUUGCAAACUUGUUCCCUUGAAUUACUUUUGGAAAAAAAAAAAAGACUAUCUGUUCCUGUGUGAGCUGGGUACUGUCUUGAGCAUCCAGACUGAAGACAGAGGAUGUCAAUUUUGGGGCUGCUCGGCCAAGGAACUCUCACCCCUAGAUCUUUAUCACCCUGUAUGGUAUUUCUGGAAAGUGCUCUGACUGGUGCUUCCACUGCAAGCCCAUCAACAAUCCCUAACUGAUACUGUAACAUUAGAUUAUGUUGAUCUACUCCUUCACUCCCUUCACGUGAAAAACUGCAGAGCCCCUGCUGCCUUGCUGAAACGAGGGCUGCCAGAAUAUUCCUCCCAUAUGGACUUCUGAACUGGUGCAGCAUUAAGUUGCCGAGCUUCAUAAAAUGGCUGGCAGAAAGAACAAAUGUGCCAUGCUAAAAAUGUGACUGUAUAUUGCAUACACACGGGUCCAAGGCUUGGUGAGAGAGCCUUCUAACUUGUUAAGAAGAAAACAGACUUGGCAGAUGUGAAUCUUCACUGACAGACUCUGAUCGUUCAAACUUGGACACUUUUAUUUCCAAUUUCAGUUUCUGAAAGAGCAAUAUUUUAUACAAGUAUCAAAAAGUCAGUCUGCUCAUCGGGCCAUAUACACUAAAGAUUGUCAAUUGAAAACCCUCAAACACAUGGAAAAGGGGAAGAAACAUUUUUCUCUUGGCUACACUAAAAUUUUGGAAUCCAGAGAAAGAUGGUUACUAUCUCUUUGAUUUAGGAGAAGAGAAAGGGAAAUCAAUAUGGUCUUUUAUAAUAUCAGACAUCCAAGACUUCCUCCAUAAGGGUAUGUACCUUCCCACGACACCCUCUACGCCAUACAUUGUACACAGAUUGUUUUGGGGAUGAAUAAUGUCACUAGUCUAGGAGUUUCAGGGAAAUAUGCAGCAAUUUCCCUGCAGAUAAUGGAGAUUAUUCUAUUCUCAGAUGCAGCAGACAAAUGCACAGAGAAAAACAAUAUAAUCCCCUGCUGUUCCCAAUGUUACAAUUAUUAUACCAUACUAAAACUGAUUGGAAUAAGUUAGUGGAGAAUCAUCCUGGAAGAUUUUAAACUGUCCCUCCUUCUAUCACUCCCACUGAACAUAUAUCUACAUGAAUAGAUCCACGUGUCUAUGUUACAUCGCUCAUCGCUCACUGAAGGGUUACAGUACAUUUUGUAUUCCAGCCAAAUAUAAUUAACAAUAAAGACAAAACAAUGAAAAUUUCUUGCUUUCUAAACCCAAAUCUAGUAAUAAUUUUAUAAUUAUACUAUCAGCAUUUUAUAUUUCAAGUUCUUGCAAACCAGACUAAAAUGCAAGAGUCAUAACCAUAUAGUCCCAGAUUAAUCAAUCGAAAAGUAAAAGUUUUACAUAGUGUCUUGAUUUUUUUUUUUGGUUUAGAUAAUGCAAAAAUAGUCCAUUAAAUCCUUUCUACUGAAAAUAUACAUGGUUGGAAGUCACAGAGCAAUGACUAAAUUGGCUAAUAACAAUAGCUACUAUUUAUGUGCUAAGAAUAAUAAAACCGUGUGCCCCAAAUUCCGCCAACUACUUUAGAGACUUAGUCUCAUUUAAUCCUUGAAAUAACCUGGUGGAGAAUAUGCUAACUUUGUUUUGUAGAAGAAGUGGUCAUAGCUUAGCAAAACUAAGUACCACAGUUGCAAAAUAUCAGAGCUGCCUCAGUCUCUAUCAUGUUUGGGGUUACUUUCAGGACAGUGUGCUAACUAUAUGCAUUCUCGGUUAUAUAAAUUCAUGAAAUUUCAAGAUUCAUUUCAUCGAUUUAUUUGGCAUUUCUUAAGACUUAGACUACAAGUUAAUCAUUUGGAAUUUUGUUUACCCAAUUUCACAUUUUGACUGCCUGAAUUGAACAGCUAUUUUGGCAUAAUGUAAACAUAUGCGAUAUUUUACCAUGACAUACCAGUCCAGUUUUUAUGCACAACUUGUAGCCUACAUGAAGAAAUCAAAAUGAUAGAAUUAUCUAUAUCUGAAUAGGCUGACCAGGUGCCCAAGGGUAAAGGAAGUAAAUCAAAACAAAAUGUGGACAAAAUGCCAAGCUACAAAAGAGCACCAUUGGGAAUACAACUUUGAGGUCAUAAACAUCUAAAAAUACAGGGAAAAAAAAGAACAAAAAAUAGUAUAUGAGAUGCUUAAGCUUUGAAAAUCUGGCUUUCAUAAAUCCUAAAAGGCUGAACUACUAGGAAUAGGACUAUGUAUUCCAAUUAACUGAAAUCAGGGUUGAUAAUUUGAAUGGACCCAAGUAUGGGAGGGGCAAUUAGCUCAUUAGCUAACUGUAAAGCAUCAGUUUCCUUAGGUCUAGAACACAGGGAGCAGAUAUUUAGUUGUUAUUUUUUUUUUGUACAUUGUAUUUUCAAUUUUAGUUACACAGACAUGCUAACUUUUCUACAUAAACAAUAAUCAAUGAUGGCUGAAGGCAUGUAAUUGUAAACCAUUUCCAUUUUGACUUCUACUCAGGAAACUGACACAGAGAAAGCAUGAAGUUACACUUGAUAUCCAUAAUUACUGGCUUAUGGAAGCAAGAGAUCUAAGGAUUUAGUCAAUGAAUAAUAUAAAAAUACAGUCAGGAGAUCAUAAAUAUUUAUUACUACAUCAAAAGUCUGCUAGUAAAUCUUUCAAUAAUUCCUUCAGCAUAAAAUACUUGAGUCAGGAUAUUGGAAAAAAUAUUAAUUAAAAUUCAGACUUAGCUCUGAAAAGAUGGGAAAUAAGAACUAUAUAAAAUAUUUUCUGCUACAAACUGUUUUAUCUAAUUUUUGCCUUGGUUUUAUUUUUCCCUAUGGGUUUGAUUGUAGGUUCUUAAGUUUAUUCACCUAUUAAAUUUGCAAUUAUCAUGUUAAAUCUGACAAGACAUUUACCUGCUUUGUGAAGAAGGAUUAAAGCUAAGAGGCAGAAUUUUGCUUUUUGUAAAGGCAAAUUGAAUACAAAAAUAAACUUCAGUACCUAUUUUACUUAA